CAGUUUUAGAGUUGAACAAGAACACAAUUACUGGAGAUAACCUUAUUAAAAAGAUGAAUUUGUUGACAGAGGAUUAAGUGAGAAAUGGUACGUACCGUACAGAGACGCAUUAAACACAGGCUAGUGAUAAAUGGUACCGUAAAGAGACACAUUAAACACAGGCUGGUGUUAAAUGGUACCGUAUAGAGACACAUUAAACACAGACUGAUGUUAAAUGGUGUCGUAUAGAGACACAUUAAGCACACGCUGGCUUUAAAUGGUACUGUAUAGAGACACAUUAA
rnacentral:lncRNA from 1 species